AUGAUCUUUUCAUUGCUUGGAUCAUCAGUAAGGUGGCACAACAUCUUAGAUUCCAGCUCCACAUUCUCAUUGCCUGUUGGAAGGAAACACCAUUCUUGGAAGCCAGCCAAUGCCUUUCUUCUUUUAAACAGGCAAUCAAAGGAACCUACAGAAAGCUAUUUGAGAGAAGAAACACAAAGAUCCAAAAAUCUGCCUGAGCAUUGUUUCUACAGGAAGACUGACCUGCAAGAAGAUCGCAGUGAGUAAUUUUAAAGUAUCUAUUUCCAUUGAGAUGGACUGAUUUUGGGCAGCUUGGGUGGCAUGGAGACUACAUGAACCCUAGAAUUUUGAAAAGACAAAUUAAAAGAAUUGACUUCCAGUUUCAUGCCUCCCUUACAAAAAAGCCCUUUGGGGACAAAGGAAGACACCGAUGGAUUCACCUUAAUUUUGAAAAGAAUGACUGAUACUGGGGGUUCUAGGAGCAGACAUUCUGAUUAUAAUGCAUUUUUGGGGUGUUGGAGGUGAUGAUGCUGGUCUGGGAAGGUUCCUUGGAGCAAAAAUACACCUCUCACACCUUUCUACCUUAUUAAUGGUUGAUCACCUAUUUGUAUAAAAGUUAAAGUUUGGACAACAAAGCAAUGCUGGAGCAGCUGUGUUGACCAUUAAACAAAAUCCAAAAUACACUAUGAUGAUACUUUCAUUCGGUUGACCAGAAGGUUAAAAAACAAGUAAAACACCAUUAUGCUAGCUUUCUAAACUCACUGGUUCCAAAGUGUUGUUGAAGGCUUUCAUGGGAUCACAGGGUUGUUGUGUGUUUUCUGGGCUGUGUGGCCAUGUUCUCUCCUGAUGUUUCUCCCACAUCUAUGGCAGGCAUCCUUAUAGGUUAUGUGGUCCAAAGAUUUUUUAAAAAAUUGUGCAGAGCAGAGAGUAUCAUGGUGGAGGCAAAAAGUAUGUAUGUCUCCAUUUUAAGACGAAGACAUUCACACACCACUUCCACUAAAAUGUAGAAGCAACAGGACCAAAUGCUGAAAAGGAAUGAAGUCAUUUCUUGUUAAUCAUGGCAUCAUUAGUGGGGAAAUGCAACAGUUCCAAGGAACUACUUACUUCAAAGCUUUGUCAGUGGAAUACGUUACACUGAAUUAGCCUGAGGUAUAUGCAGUGAGCAGCAUCAUAAUUUCACAGCAUUUGCUGCCUUCAUGUAUGAGUUAAAAGGACACACCCAAUACAGCAUCAUUGAGAGAAGUAUGUAACCGUCAACAGAUUUCCAGCUUAUACAAACCGCCUCCAUUUGAAUCAACAAGAGUGCAGUGUGCACUCUUGUCGGUUCAACCGUUCACAUCAUAACUUUAUGCAUGCUCUGUUCUAUUUACAAAAUAUGCACUCUGACCUGAUAUCACACAAGGCCGUUUGAAGCAAUUAAACAGGGUGGAGGGGUGCGGGCAACUCCAAUACCACAAAAGAAUUACAGGCACAGGAUAAAAGUGGGAACUGUUUUGGCAGAUACAAACACAGAGUCUACCAUGCUAAAUCAUCAGCCAAAAAGGAAUCACUUAAACAAUUGGUGAAAAAGGCAUCAAGUUGCUUCUAUUACAUUUUCAGUGCCAGAAAGGGGGUGUGGAACUUGUGGAAUUUUCUGCAUUGUGUGCCAAAAUAAACUGGCAAGUUUCAGAUACUAUGCACCUAUGCAUACUAUGCACCUUUGACCUGACUAAACACUGUUUGCUAUAGCAAACAACUAAACGCCUUGAACCAGCCUUGUAAAAUAACCUGGGUUCAUUCACACUACAUAGCUAGAGUACUAUUAUUUCAUGCUGCAACUGUCCUGGUUCCAUCCUAUGGAAUAUUGAGACUGCUAGUUUGCUGAAGCACUAGCAUUCUGACUGAGAAUCUUAAAUGCUUACCCCAAACUGCAAAUCCCAUGGUAGGCCAUGUAGAAUAAUAGUGCUAUGAUUCAUUAGUGUAAAUGAUGCCCAGAAUUCAUCUACAUGGUUCAAUGCUAUGGAAUCAUGGGAGUUGUAGUUUGGUGAGGCACCAACACACUUGGAGAAGGCUAAAGACCUUGGAAAACAACAACUCCUAGGAUUAAGCUGUGGUAGAUGAAGUGGUGUCAAACAGCAUUAAUUCUACAUCUUAUAUGUAUCCUAGGCCAGAUCUAGGGUACCGUUAAACUUGAAAGCCCAUAAACUUUCCCACCCCAGGCAGCAAAUUAGGACCAUCACAAUUUUCCCAUAGUUACCACCAACUAGACUUUCUCACUCAUUCAUUUCUUGAAUAAUUCAUGGCCUAGCGAUGGCACACACAGCAAACCACUUAAGUAGACUUAUACAAGAGUUUAUAUUCCCUCAAGUAUCCUUUACCCAAAACAUUCCUUUAAAGGUUUGUGGGACAUUCCCAUCACUUUGAAUUCUGCCCAGAAACAAGCUGGCAACUCUUCAGACUGUUGUAACAAUAAUAAUAAUAAUAAUAAUAAUAAUAAAACUUUAUUUAUACCCCGCCACCAUCUCCCCAAUGGGGACUCGGGGCGGCUAACAUGGGGCCAUGCCCAGAGCAAUACAACAUAAUAAAAUAUAAGAACAACAUAUCAUAACACCAUUUAAAAUACAAUAAAUAAUAAUAAACAGAACAUCAAGAAAUCAAGAAAAAAACAAAAACAAAAAAACUAUAAAUCAAGGGCAGGCCACUUGAACACAAAGAUAAAACCCGGAGUGAGAGGGACAGAGAAGUACUCCACUAUGGGCAGGGACAUUUGGAAGGGGUAAUCUGGAGGAUAGAAGUUCGGAGGGGAGUAAUACGGAGAUAUAUGACAGACAUUACUCACCGAAAGCACAAUGGAAGAGCCAUGUUUUUAAUUCUCUCCUAAAAGCUAACAGAGUGGGAGCUUGCCUUAUUUCAGUGGGAAGUGAGUUCCACAAUCGGGGGGCCACAGCAGAGAAGGCCCUCUCCCUUGUACUUACAAGGCGAGCCUGGGAUAUAGGCAAUGGUGAUAACAGGGCCUCUCCGGAUGAUCGCAAGGAACGGGCAGGUUUAUGGAAGGAGAUACGAUCACGGAGGUAGGUGGGUCCCAAACCGUUCAGGGCUUUAUAGAUGAUGGUCUGCACCUUGAAUUGGGACCGGAAGAUGAACGGCAGCCAGUGGAGCUCCUUAAACAAGGGAGUGGAUCUCUCCCUGUAAUUUGCCCCCGUUAUUAAUCUGGCUGCCGAGCGUUGGACCAGUUGUAAUUUCCGGGCCGUCUUCAAGGGAAGCCCCACGUAGAGUGCAUUACAGUAGUCCAGUCUGGAGGUAACUAGGGCAUGGACCACCGUGGUCAAAUCAGACUUCACGAGGUAUGGUCGCAGUUGGCGCACAAGUUUAAGUUGUGCGAAGGCCCUCCCGGCCACCGCCGACACCUGGAA
rnacentral:lncRNA from 1 species